ACUUCGAACUGCCUUUUUUAUCUCAAGCUCUUCUUCUUAACUGAAACUCUCUCUUCUGAUCUACCAGAAUCUAACAUUCACUUCUUACUGUAGGAUGGGAGAAAUUUCGGAUGUGGGUCGGAUCUAUGGAUAAUAUAUGUAGAAUCCAUUCUUCUUUCACCGGAUUACUCUCUAUUUUGAAUAAUUAGUGAAUGUCUAUCCAUUUUCUUCAAAUUGGUGAUGCUACAAAUCAAGGUAAUUUGACGACGAACAAGAAACCGAUUGAUCUGCUGAGAGGUAGAAUUUGAUUCAAUAUCUAUGGUUUUACAUGAUGUGUCUGUGGUGUCGUAUCAGAGAUUGCUUUUGGAUGAUCUCGGGGUUAUCUAUUCAUUCAAUCGGCCUUCGCUUCAGAUGAGUGCCCAAAAGCUACCAGUUAGACACAACUCAACUUAGUUAUUGUUUGUCUAAUUGAUUUUUGCUGCCCUUACACACAUUUGCAGUUAGACAUGUAGUUCAAAGUGUGUUUUGAUUGUGUCAAAUCAUUCUACUUUUGUGUUAUGUGACUUAUAUCUUCGCUCUUCUCAUUGUGGUUCAGAUGUACAGCCAUGAACUACUGUCAAUCAAGACUCACCUAUGGUUAAUGUUUACUAUAUUCAGUUUCUAGUCGACCACUGAGAACCAACAACACCUGCAUCUGGCCAGCAAUUUACAAGAUCAAGGGCAAGGUUUCAGUCCCAGAGCGGCCGCCAACAUCCUAGUUCAAGAUUAAUGGAGUUGAAGAAGGGUUUUACUAAAGUAGAAGAUGAAGAAAAUGAGGUAGUUGCACCAGAGGUGCGAAAGUUGUCAUCUGAUGCAAUUUACGAGAUAUUAAUCAGAGCAUCAUUCAGUACGCUUCUAUGUCAAUCUCAAUGGGUUUGCAAAGACUGGCAAAAACUCAUAAUCUGUGAUUCCAAGUUUCAACAAACCCAUUCUCAGAGAAUAAUUGCAUCCGGUCAUUUUUUUGAAGUUAUCUCAUCUACAGGCCGGAACUCUGUCAUCUUUGUUCGAAGCAACAAUGAUCAUGAGGAGCUCUACAAUUCUGCACAAGAAGUGCAAUCUCCUUCUCUUGAUUUCCUGCCAACGGGAAAAAGUAUUACAAUUGCGGGUUCAUCACUUCAUGGUUCAUUACUUUGUUGUUUCACUAACUCCAGUAGUACCCCAAUCCCAUCUUUCUACAUGUGUAAACCGGCGAGUCGUGAAUGGAGAAAGAUACCAAACCCUAAAACUACAUUAAAGAGCUUCGGAAUUGGAAUUGCAGUGAAGCUAUCCUCGUGCUCAAUACUACAUUACAAGAUACUACGUUUAUCGCAGUCAAAAACUGGAUUGGGAUAUCACUGUCAGUUGUUCAACUCUGAGAGGUGGGCUUGGAAGACACUGCUGUUUGUUCAAUUUAAGCGUGAUUACACUUACUUAAUUGGAGAAGACGGUAUUUGGGUUAACGGGGGAUUACAUUGAUUAACCAACUACGAUGAAUUAUACGUAUUUAAAGUAUUCGUAUUUAACACUGAUCAAGAGAAAUGGACAACUUUUGAGAUUUCACCGGAGAUGAAAACCAUUCCAAGAUCAAAUGUAGUUGUUGUAAGUUGUGAUGGUAAGCUUGGGGUUAUCUUCCAUACAAAUGAAUGGAUGGAACUUUGGGUAUUAGAAAACUAUUCCACCGAGAAACCAACAUGGAAAAGGAAGUAUAGGAACGAUACGAGAUCACUUCAUCAAAACGUGGAAAAUCUUUAUGCACAUCAUAUGUGGUCGAACGACACCGUCAUGAUGAAGAGUAGGUAUGAGCUUGUUGCGUUUAAUUGCGACAAGAAUACUUGCACUAGAACAAAGUUGCCUAGGACAGCGGAUACGUCAAGCUUAUCACCUUACCCAUUUCAACCCCAAUUUUGUUACCUUUAGUUCUAGUCUCCUUGGUGAUUUCUCUUGCAAUAUGUUUAUGAUCCUCAUUUGCAAAUAUAUGUUAUUUUAUGAAGUUUGUUGUUGAAUGCGUAUUCAGUGAAUUUAACCAAACUUAGCAAGCUCUUGUUAAA